rnacentral:rRNA from 1 species
UACGGAGGGUGCAAGCGUUAUCCGGAUUCACUGGGUUUAAAGGGUGCGUAGGCGGGCAGGUAAGUCAGUGGUGAAAUCCCCGAGCUUAACUUGGGAACUGCCGUUGAUACUAUCUGUCUUGAAUGUUGUGGAGGUGAGCGGAAUAUGUCAUGUAGCGGUGAAAUGCUUAGAUAUGACAUAGAACACCAAUUGCGAAGGCAGCUCGCUACACAAUUAUUGACUCUGAUGCACGAAAGCGUGGGGAUCAAACAGG